rnacentral:rRNA from 1 species
UACAGAGGUCUCAACCGUUGUUCGGAUUCAUUGGGCGUAAAGGGUGCGUAGGCGGCGGGGCAAGUCAGGUGUGAAAUCUCGGGGCUCAACCCCGAAACUGCACUUGAUACUGCCUUGCUCGAGUACUGGAGAGGAGACUGGAAUUUACGGUGUAGCAGUGAAAUGCGUAGAUAUCGUAAGGAAGACCAGUGGCGAAGGCGAAUCUCUGGACAGUUACUGACACUGAGGCACGAAGGCCAGGGGAGCAAACGGG